rnacentral:rRNA from 1 species
ACGCUCGACACCUACGGGAGCAGCAGUGGGGAAUAUUGCACAAUGGGGGAAACCCUGAUGCAGCGACGCCGCGUGGAGGAAGAAGGUCUUCGGAUUGUAAACUCCUGUUGUUGGGGAAAAAGAGGAUGGUACCCAACAAGGAAGUGACGGCUAACUACGUGGCAGCAGCCGCGGUAAUCUGAGCGGGCUGGCAAGGC